rnacentral:lncRNA from 1 species
CUUUAACUCUUUAUUUAAUAAAAUAAACUUUUAUUUAAUAUAUUCUUUUAAAUUAAUGAAAGAAUGAAUUUUUACUUCACACAGUGACAAGAACUUAUCCCUGUAUCCCUGAUCCAAUCAAAAGACUUAUGGAACAUACUGUCAAUCACCAAAAAAAAGGUUAAAGAUAUUUGUCCGUACUCAGUUUGGAUAAGCCUUAUACCAUUUCCUUUUGGAAGAAGAGAGGCAGCUAAAGAAAGUUUACCAGCUGAAGAAUCAAUUGUGCCAGAUAUUCCUCUGUCAACACCUUGAUUCCAGCAGAGGCUAUUUCUGCUCCUCAAACCAGCACCAGGGUUUGU